UACGUAGGGGGCAAGCGUUGUCCGGAAUCAUUGGGCGUAAAGAGCGCGUAGGCGGUCCGGUAAGUCCGCUCUGAAAGUCCGGGGCUCAACCCCGGGAGGCGGGCGGAUACUGUCGGGCUAGAGUCCGGAAGAGGCGGGUGGAAUUCCUGGUGUAGCGGUGAGAUGCGCAGAUAUCAGGAGGAACACCGGUGGCGAAGGCGGGACUCUGGGCCGAUACUGACGCUGAGGAGCGAAAGCGUGGGGAGCGAACAGG
rnacentral:rRNA from 1 species